UGGGGAAUCUUCCGCAAUGGACGAAAGUCUGACGGAGCAACGCCGCGUGAGUGAAGAAGGUUUUCGGAUCGUAAAACUCUGUCUUUUGGGGCGAACGUGAGUAUGGUGAACAAUCAUAGUCAGUGACGGUACCAAAGGAGGAAGCCACGGCUAACUACGUGCCAGCAGCCGCGGUAAUACGUAGGUGGCAAGCGUUGUCCGGAAUUAUUGGGCGUAAAGAGCGCGUAGGCGGGAUAGUCAGUCUGUUGUAAAAGUGCGGGGCUCAACCCCGUGAUCGCAAUGGAAACAGCUAUUCUUGAGUGCAGGAGAGGAAAGUGGAAUUCCCAGUGUAGCGGUGAAAUGCGUAGAUAUUGGGAGGAACACCAGUGGCGAAGGCGACUUUCUGGACUGUGUCUGACGCUGAGGCGCGAAAGCCAGGGGAGCGAACGGGAUUAGAUACCCCGGUAGUCCUGGCCGUAAACGAUGGGUACUAGGUGUGGGAGGUAUCGACCCCUUUCCGUGCCGGAGUUAACGCAAUAAGUACCCCGCCUGGGGAGUACGGUCGCAAGACUGAAACUCAAAGGAAUUGACGGGGUCCUAGCUGUUU
rnacentral:rRNA from 1 species